rnacentral:tRNA from 1 species
GCGGGUAUAGUUUAGUGGUAAAACCUCUAGCCUUCCAAGCUAAUGAUGCGGGUUCGAUUCCCGCUACCCGCU